rfam:Flavobacterium sp. FPG59 Contig_145, whole genome shotgun sequence.
UUUUUGUGUGAAGGAUAGAAGUGGAAAUCCUUUAUGGAUGCGUAGCAGCAAAUAAAGAUUGUAGCGCAUAGCCUGACGGCAA